CGCCACGUUUGAUAAUAGCAGAGAACCAAGCAUGUUCGACAAUCGUCAUCGCGUUUCUUCAUAUUUAAAGUAUAUUUCUUCAUUGUUGGCCAUUGUCCAGCUGCGCUGCUAAUUUCCGGAUCUUGCAGCGGGAAUAUCUCGUCAUUAGCUGGAUUCAAUCGUCAUCAUUCGAGUAAAACCAUUGUAAAGAUCACUCCAUUGGUGGCCGCUAUUCACUUAGGAAAAUGCAGAUGCCGGCAACAAGAAAUUCGAGUCAUAAGAACUGGGUCUUUCUACAACAAAUUGUUGUUUUCGAAGUUUUUAUACUUUGAUUAAUUAUUAUAGAAAGGGAUCUCCUGGUUUGAAUGACUUGAAGAUUAUUGUCACUAGCCGGAUUCAAUUGUCUACGCUAAAGGGAAUUCAUCAUAAAUUUCCCCUCAAUGAUGCGGCCAGUGUUCAUCUACGAAAUUCGACAAGAACCGAGUCAACGAUGCGAAAAUCGCCUACCCUGGCGGGAAUCCAUGCUAAAUACAAAGGAGCAGACAAGAGAAGAAAGAGACAAAGGAGACAACGAUUUGGGACAUACAAAAGAGAAAGGACAACUAGACAAAAGAAAAAGUAAUAAGUCAGUGCGCGUUUUUAAACCGUUUUGUUUUUGUUCAAAAAGUUUUGAAAGUAUU